rnacentral:tRNA from 1 species
GACCAGGUAGCCCAGUUGGUUAGAGUGUUAACCUGAUAUGUCAAGGUUGCAGGUUCAACCCUUGGUCA